rnacentral:rRNA from 1 species
UACAGAGGUCUCAAGCGUUGUUCGGAUUCAUUGGGCGUAAAGGGUGCGUAGGCGGUCCGGUAAGUCCGCUGUAAAAGUCGGGGGCUCAACCCUCGGAUGCCGGUGGAUACUGUCGGGCUUGAGUACGGAAGAGGCGAGUGGAAUUCCUGGUGUAGCGGUGAAAUGCGCAGAUAUCAGGAGGAACACCAAUUGCGAAGGCAGCUCGCUGGGACGUUACUGACGCUGAGACGCGAAAGCGUGGGGAGCAAACAGG